rnacentral:lncRNA from 1 species
AACGUAAGCAAGAUCAGCAAAGGUUUAUCUCAACUUCAGACUCACUCCCAGAAACUCACUCUUGGGAGCUCUCUGUGGAAUUGGGCCCCCCUUCUUCUGGUAUUAUGUUUUCAAAACUGACAGGGAUAUGAAAGAAAAACUUAUCCAGGAAAGAAAAUUGGGUUGAACAUUUAACAUCUCAUUUAAGUCUUGCAAUAAUGGCUAUAUGUAUUUUUGCUAAAUAAAUCUUCUAUUAAUCUUUUUUUUUUUUAAAGUUUGAGAUGUCUGCAGAAUGGGCAUGUGGUUCAUUAGAGUGACCAAUACCCCGGUGAGUGACAACACUUUGUGUGCGAGGCUGCCGGCCGCCAGGCCCUCUCUCUCGCUCACUGCUUUGGGGGCAUCAUUUUGCACAGCCCCUGUGGAGGGUGAUUUGGGCUUCCGGGUCAGGCUGACAAAUGCAGGAACCUGUGAGGCAGCCAUUCUCCUUCCAGGAAUGUACCUUAUCCAUGCUCUACCAGCUAUGCAAAGCAACUUGAGUGCCAGACUAGUCACUUCAGUUACAGUAGCAACAUACUGGAAACUCCCUAAAUGCCCAUCGGCAGACACCAGGGAAAUCACUGCAGUGCACCCAAACAAUGGAGUACUAUGUGGCGGUGAAAAAGAAUGAGGAAGUUCUCUCUGUUCUCAUGUUGACAUUCAGGACACAUAACGUUAAGUGGAAAAAAGCACAGUGCAGAGCAGAGUUUGUGGUGUGUGUGUGUGUGUCUGAGAGAGAGAGAGAGAGAGAGAGAGAGAGGUGAACAGGGUUGGAUGGGGACAGAAGUUAGGAAGGAGGUAUUUGGCCGUAUAGCUUGUAAAUUUUCAUUAUGAGGCAUGUGAAUGUGUUAUAUUAUUAGCAUUUUAUAACUGAACAUUUAACUGAGAAAAUGAAAGUGGUGUUGCUGGAGAUGGGAGGAGAGAGGAGGAAAAUACUUUAGUGUCUCAGGGGUAGGCUCAACCAGCCAUGUCCAGCGCCUCUUUGAAGUGGGUUCAUCAGCAACCUGUGACUUGGCGUGAAGCCAAGUUCAGCGCUGAGGUGCAGACUGUAAUCACAGGGCUGAGUUUAACCAAGACUCUGGUUUUGUCAGGCGAUCACUAUGGAGGAUGAUAGCUGAGCCGUGGGAGGGGCUUGCCAGGGAGAAGUCAUACCGAUGGGCGAUACCCAUACUGACUGCUGCUAUACCCAGCAGUCCCUGGUCGCCCCCAGAACUCCCAUCCUCUGACCCUGUGCUGCCUUGCAGCCCCUCAGCCCCCCAUGCAUGCCCCCCAUGCAUGCCCCCACCAUCCCUGCAGUGAGACCCCGCAGCCUCCUGAGAUGCCAGGUAAGCCAUGCACAGCCAGGUGCUGUGCCUCAGAACUUGCUGCAAAGCUACUUAUGCAAGGCGGGGGAAGCCGUCCUGGGAGGCUGUGCAGGUGAGCAGCCAAUAAACAAGUGAAAAGAAACCCCCCUCCCUCCUUGUUUGUCUCUCCAGCGCCCUCUACUGACAGUGCACAGCACCGUGCCAGCAGGAGAGAGGGAAAAGUUCCAGAAUCCCCAAGUAGGGCAGUGAAAGAUGGGCUUGGGUCAGAGGCAGUAGAUGGAUAGCAGGCAGUUGCUUUCCAUAUGCACCCUUUUACACACGUUUAACCUUUUCUAAAAAUUCCAGUAAAUGCAAUACAUGUAUCCUUCCCACAAGUGAAGAUGCACUCACGCUGUCUCCAAAAUGAGGAGACAGUGAGGACAAGGUGCCAAUGGUUACUGUAGCCACUGUUGGCUCUGUUAAUUACACCACAAAUUCAACCACAGUCCACUGAAUAUCUUGUUACCUGAAGACUGAAUGGUAACACUAACCUCCAAAAAAUUGUGUGUACAAUACAGAUGCCAGCGAGAGAAAACAGGAAAAUGGUUGGCAUGUGGAAACAAACACGUGAAAACAAGCAAAGGAAACUAAGCAAAACUACUACACUCCUUGCUUCCGUGACAGUUGGGAGCCGAGGCUUGAAGUCCAUGGUUCCUUCUCCCAUCACUCAUCCUGGAUUUUCCCCUCCCUCAGCCGGGACCUCAGCUAGUUGGUGAUCUUU